rnacentral:rRNA from 1 species
UGGCGACCGGCGCACGGGUGAGUAACGCGUAUCCAACCUUCCUACACUCAGGGAUAGCCUUUCGAAAGAAAGAUUAAUACCUGAUAGUAUGGUGAGAUUGCAUGAUAACACCAUUAAAGAUUCAUUGGUAAACGAUGGGGAUGCGUUCCAUUAGGUAGUAGGCGGGGUAACGGCCCACCUAGCCAACGAUGGAUAGGGGUUCUGAGAGGAAGGUCCCCCACAUUGGAACUGAGACACGGUCCAA